rnacentral:rRNA from 1 species
ACUGCUAGAUGAACGCUGGCGGCAGGCCUAACACAUGCAAGUCGAGCGGAAACGACACUAACAAUCCUUCGGGUGCGUUAAUGGGCGUCGAGCGGCGGACGGGUGAGUAAUGCCUAGGAAAUUGCCUUGAUGUGGGGGAUAACCAUUGGAAACGAUGGCUAAUACCGCAUAAUGCCUACGGGCCAAAGAGGGGGAUCUUCGGGCCUCUCGCGUCAAGAUAUGCCUAGGUGGGAUUAGCUAGUUGGUGAGGUAAUGGCUCACCAAGGCGACGAUCCCUAGCUGGUCUGAGAGGAUGAUCAGCCACACUGGAACUGAGACACGGUCCAGACUCCUACGGGAGGCAGCAGUGGGGAAUAUUGCACAAUGGGCGAAAGCCUGAUGCAGCCAUGCCGCGUGUAUGAAGAAGGCCUUCGGGUUGUAAAGUACUUUCAGUUGUGAGGAAGGGUGUGUAGUUAAUAGCUGCGC